UACGGAGGGUGCGAGCGUUGUUCGGAAUUAUUGGGCGUAAAGCGCGUGUAGGCGGUUUCUUAAGUCUGAUGUGAAAGCCCCGGGCUCAACCUGGGAAGUGCAUUGGAAACUGGGAAACUUGAGUACGGGAGAGGGUAGUGGAAUUCCCAGUGUAGGAGUGAAAUCCGUAGAUAUUGGGAGGAACACCGGUGGCGAAGGCGGCUACCUGGACCGAUACUGACGCUGAGACGCGAAAGCGUGGGGAGCAAACAGG
rnacentral:rRNA from 1 species